rnacentral:rRNA from 1 species
UACGGAGGGUGCAAGCGUUAUCCGGAUUCACUGGGUUUAAAGGGUGCGUAGGCGGGUAGGUAAGUCAGUGGUGAAAUCUUCGAGCUUAACUCGGAAACUGCCUUUGAUACUAUCUAUCUUGAAUAUUGUGGAGGUAAGCGGAAUAUGUCAUGUAGCGGUGAAAAUGCUUAGAUAUGACAUAGAACACCUAUUGCGAAGGCAGCUUUCUACGCAUAUAUUGACGCUGAGGCACGAAAAGCGUGGGGAUCAAACAGG